UCAGAACAAUCGUGCCUUUACACGGGCCACCACGGUAAAGGCUUUCUGCACCGUAUUUCAUGAAAUAAUCUGCAGCGAUCACUAUACUAAAGAAAGAAAGAAGAUACAUGUUCUCUGGAUGACUGUUCAGCCUGAGCAAAUGCCAAAAGCUGUUAAGCAAUGCCCAUUGCUAAAACAAAUUCUUUCAGAUCGUGUCGCCAAGGUUAAAGGAGAUAUUUCCAUAACUACAAGCAAAUUAAUUUGGAGUUUUGCAUCAACAAUAAUGAGAUGGGGCAAUAAGAAGAGCUGAGAAUGAGACAGAAACAUAACAACUACAACUCUAUGAUGCUCUGUUUGGGUACGACGAUUCCUCCCAGAGAUUUCCUGUCUUCUCCUUCUAAAAUAUCAAUGAUGUUAUAAAGACAUCUUAUAAAACAGAGAUUUCUACCUUUAAACAGCCUGGGGGGUUAUAUUCACCAAGAGUUUGUUGAUUUUAAACUGGCUUAAGAGUAUUUCUGAUGAAAUUUUCUUUUCUCUUUUCUAAUAGUUUCUGCUGGAACUGAGGGAGUAGGGGAGGUAAUAAGAAAUGCAGGGGGUAGUGCCCACUUUGAUAGAAUGAAGUAAAAUUGGCCUGACACAGACAAAAUUAUCAUAGAGCUUACAUAAGGAUGACAUAGGUUUUUGAGGCAUUCUAUUUUUUUUUAAUUGAAAAAAGACAUGAGAAAUUCCCUGGGCCAAUACAAAUGUUUUGUAUCUUGUUUUAAGUGGUGGUUUGAUGGUGAGUACAAUUAUUAAAACUCAUUGAACUGAACACUCAAGAUCAUUGUAUUUUAUUGAAUAUUAAUUAUACUUUGACUUUUCAAAAUGAGUGUGGUGGGAAGACUGAAUAAUGAUUUAAAUCUGAGGUUUGCAGGGUUUAUUCCUUCAUAUAUAACUAAAAUUGAGCAAAUACAGCACUAACUAUAUGCUUGCUGUAUUUUAUGUAAGAGACUAAACUGCAUUGGAAAAUCACAUAUUUGUAAAGCGAACCAUAGAGAUCAUGAGAAAAUAGAGGCCCCAAUUGGAAGGCGACUUCACAAAUAUAGCAACCAGAAGAAGAGUGACAUUAAAGAAAUAAUAUUC